rnacentral:rRNA from 1 species
CCAACCUGGUUGAUCCUGCCAGUAGUCAUAUGCUUGUCUCAAAGAUUAAGCCAUGCAUGUCUAAGUAUAAGCGUUAUACUGUGAAACUGCGAAUGGCUCAUUAAAUCAGCAAUAGUUUCUUUGGUGGUGUUUACUACUCGGAUAACCGUAGUAAUUCUAGAGCUAAUACGUGCGUAAAUCCCGACUUCGGAAGG